rnacentral:snoRNA from 1 species
ACCAGCCCAUCAUGCUCACUUCAGCAACUUAGGCAAGACUGACUAGCCUCCCCAAGAACACCAUCAAGAGCUGGGCCGAAUUGAAGGCUCAGUU